AACUUAUAUCGUCGUACAUUAGU
rnacentral:snRNA from 1 species